AUUCCAGCUCCAAUAGCGUAUAUUAAAGUUGUUGCGGUUAAAAAGCUCGUAGUUGGAUUUCUGUCAAAGGUAAGGCGGUCCAUCUUAUGGAUGUGCAUCUGCCUAUGCCUUGGCAACCUCAUGAAGAACGUUUUCGCGCUUCACUGCGUGUUUACGGUAUUCAUGACUUUUACUUUGAGGAAAUUAGAGUGUUCACGGCGGGCAAUCGCUUUGGAUACAUUAGCAUGGAAUAAUACUAUAGGACCUCGGUUCUAUUUUGUUGGUUUCUAGAGCUGAGGUAAUGAUUAAUAGGGAUAAUUGGGGGUCUUUGUAUUGCAACGUCAGAGGUGAAAUUCUUGGAUUGUUGCACGACAAACUACUGCGUAAGCAUUGACCAAGGAUGUUUUCAUUG
rnacentral:rRNA from 1 species